rnacentral:rRNA from 1 species
AGAACGAACGCUGGCGGCAGGCUUAACACAUGCAAGUCGAACGCCCCGCAAGGGGAGUGGCAGACGGGUGAGUAACACGUGGGAACGUACCCUUUACUACGGAAUAACGCAUGGAAACGUGUGCUAAUACCGUAUGUGCCCUUUGGGGGAAAGAUUUAUCGGUAAAGGAUCGGCCCGCGUUGGAUUAGCUAGUUGGUGGGGUAAAGGCCUACCAAGGCGACGAUCCAUAGCUGGUCUGAGAGGAUGAUCAGCCACAUUGGGACUGAGACACGGCCCAAACUCCUACGGGAGGCAGCAGUGGGGAAUAUUGGACAAUGGGCGCAAGCCUGAUCCAGCCAUGCCGCGUGGGUGAUGAAGGUCUUAGGAUUGUAAAGCUCUUUCACCGGUGAAGAUAAUGACGGUAACCGGAGAAGAAGCCCCGGCCAACUUCGUGCCAGCAGCCGCGGUAAUACGAAGGGGGCUAGCGUUAUUCGGAUUUACUGGGUUUAAAGGGUGCGUAGGCGGAUUAAUAAGUCAGUGGUGAAAACCUUCAGCUUAACUGGAGAACUGCCAUUGAUACUGUUAGUCUUGAGUACGGUCAAGGUAGGCGGAGUGUGUAAUGUAGCGGUGAAAUGCUUAGAUAUUACACAGAACACCGAUUGCGAAGGCAGCUUACUGGGCCAUUACUGACGCUGAUGCACGAAAGCGUGGGGAGCGAACAGGAUUAGAUACCCUGGUAGUCCACGCCGUAAACGAUGA